AUUGAACGCUGGCGGCAGGCCUAACACAUGCAAGUCGAGCGGAGCGGCGGACGGGUGAGUAAUGCCUAGUAAUUUGCCUGGUAGUGGGGGAUACCGUACGGAGACGGGCGAUAAUACCGCAUACUAUCAGAUGACCCUAGGUGGGAUUAGCUAGUUGGUGGGGCAAAGGCCUACCAAGGCGACGAUCCGUAACUGGUCUGAGAGGAUGAUCAGUCACACUGGAACUGAGACACGGUCCAGACUCCUACGGGAGGCAGCAGUGGGGAAUAUGGGACAAUGGGCGAAAGCCUGAUCCAGCCAUGCCGCGUGGGUGAAGAAGGUCUUCGGAUUGUAAAGCACUUUAAGUUGGGAAGCGUUACCAACAGAGUAAGCACCGGCUAACUUCGUGCCAGCAGCCGCGGUAAGAC
rnacentral:rRNA from 1 species